rnacentral:rRNA from 1 species
CCUACGGGAGGCAGCAGUGGGGAAUAUUGGACAAUGGGCGAAAGCCUGAUCCAGCAAUGCCGCGUGUGUGAAGAAGGCCUUCGGGUUGUAAAGCACUUUAGGCUGGAAAGAAAAAACUUUCUCUAAUACAGGAAGUCUUGACGGUACCAGCAGAAUAAGCACCGGCUAACUCUGUGCCAGCAGCCGCGGUAAUACAGAGGGUGCAAGCGUUAAUCGGAUUUACUGGGCGUAAAGCGUGCGUAGGUGGCUAUUUAAGUCGGAUGUGAAAGCCCUGGGCUUAACCUGGGAACUGCAUUCGAUACUGGGUGGCUAGAGAUCGGUAGGGGGCAGCGGAAUUCCGGGUGUAGCGGUGAAAUGCGUAGAUAUCCGGAGGAACACCGAUGGCGAAGGCAACUGCCUGGGCCUGAUCUGACACUGAGGCACGAAAGCGUGGGUAGCAAACAGGAUUAGAUACCCUGGUAGUCCACGCUGUAAACGAUGAGAACUUGACGUCUGCUUGCUAUGNGNGUAGUGUGUAGCGACGACGAGUAGUUACGUCCGCCGUCGGGAGGUACGGCCGCGAGGUAGUAACGUACGAAGGAAGUUAGUACGGACGUGAGACGCGCCGACGGACGACGACGAGGGAGGAGG